rnacentral:rRNA from 1 species
GAGCUUGCUCUGUGGAUCAGUGGCGAACGGGUGAGUAACACGUGAGCAAUCUGCCCCUGACUCUGGGAUAAGCGCUGGAAACGGCGUCUAAUACCGGAUACGAGCUGCGAUCGCAUGGUCAGUAGCUGGAAAGAAUUUCGGUCAGGGAUGAGCUCGCGGCCUAUCAGCUUGUUGGUGAGGUAAUGGCUCACCAAGGCGUCGACGGGUAGCCGGCCUGAGAGGGUGACCGGCCACACUGGGACUGAGACACGGCCCAGACUCCUACGGGAGGCAGCAGUGGGGAAUAUUGCACAAUGGGCGGAAGCCUGAUGCAGCAACGCCGCGUGAGGGAUGACGGCCUUCGGGUUGUAAACCUCUUUUAGCAGGGAAGAAGCGAAAGUGACGGUACCUGCAGAAAAAGCGCCGGCUAACUACGUGCCAGCAGCCGCGGUAAUACGUAGGGCGCAAGCGUUAUCCGGAAUUAUUGGGCGUAAAGAGCUCGUAGGCGGUCUGUCGCGUCUGCUGUGAAAACCCGAGGCUCAACCUCGGGCCUGCAGUGGGUACGGGCAGACUAGAGUGCGGUAGGGGAGAUUGGAAUUCCUGGUGUAGCGGUGGAAUGCGCAGAUAUCAGGAGGAACACCGAUGGCGAAGGCAGAUCUCUGGGCCGUAACUGACGCUGAGGAGCGAAAGGGUGGGGAGCAAACAGGCUUA